rnacentral:tRNA from 2 species
CGGGGCGUGGCGCAGCCUGGUAGCGCACCUGAAUGGGGUUCAGGAGGUCCCGCGUUCGAAUCGCGGCGCCCCGACCA